rnacentral:rRNA from 1 species
UGAGGAACAUGACCUUCGGCGGGGGAUAGCCGGCCCAACGGCCGGGUAAUACCGCGUACGACCACAUGGGGACAUCCCUGAGUGGUGAAAGCAGCAAUGCGCCGAUGGAGUGCCUCGCGGCCUAUCAGCUUGUUGGGUGGGGUNAUGGCCUACCAAGGCGACGACGGGUAGCCGGCCUGAGGAGGGCCGUCCCGGCCACACGUGGGACUGAGACACGGUCCAGACUCCGAGGGAG